rnacentral:rRNA from 1 species
GAUGAACGCUGGCGGCGUGCCUAAUACAUGCCAGUCGAGCGAACAGAUGAGGAGCUUGCUCCUCUGACGUUAGCGGCGGACGGGUGAGUAACACGUGGAUAACCUACCUAUAAGACUGGGAUAACUUCGGGAAACCGGAGCUAAUACCGGAUAAUAUAUUGAACCGCAUGGUUCAAUAGUGAAAGACGGUUUUGCUGUUACUUAUAGAUGGAUCCGCGCCGCAUUAGCUAGUUGGUAAGGUAACGGCUUACCAAGGCAACGAUGCGUAGCCGACCUGAGAGGGUGAUCGGCCACACUGGAACUGAGACACGGUCCAGACUCCUACGGGAGGCAGCAGUAGGGAAUCUUCCGCAAUGGGCGAAAGCCUGACGGAGCAACGCCGCGUGAGUGAUGAAGGUCUUCGGAUCGUAAAACUCUGUUAUUAGGGAAGAACAAAUGUGUAAGUAACUAUGCACGUCUUGACGGUACCUAAUCAGAAAGCCACGGCUAACUACGUG